rnacentral:rRNA from 1 species
GACGAACGCUGGCGGCGUGCUUAACACAUGCAAGUCGAACGGAAAGGCCCCUUUGUGGGUCCUCGAGUGGCGAACGGGUGAGUAACACGUGAGUAACCUUCCCUUGACUUCGGGACAACUUCAGGAAACUGGGGCUAAUACCGGAUAGGAAUCCUUUCUGCAUGGUGGGGGUUGGAAAGCUUCGGCGGGUUUGGCUGGAUUCGCGGGUUAUCUGCUUGUUGGUGUGGUAGUGGGUUACCAAGGCUUUUACGGGUAGCCGGCCUGAGUGGGCGACCGGCCACACUGGGACUGAGAUAAGGCCCAGACUGCUACGGUAGGCAGAAGUGGGGAAUACUGCCGGAUGGGCGGAAGCCUGAUGAAGCAAGGCCGCGGGCGGGAUGACGGCCUUCGGGUUGUAAACCGAUUUCAGAAGGGGCGAAGCUUGUGGUGACGGUACCUGCAGAAGAAGCACCGGCUAACUACGUG